GGACUGGGACUCAUAAUCGAAGCCUCUACUUUAAAACCUCCAGAGAAUGAGACACCAUUCGACUCCCAGGUAGCAGCAGAUUCCAGUCUCAAACAUCUCUUAUCACCAGGAAAUUUUUCCUACUGUUUUGGUGGACUCCCCCCCCCCCCCUGCAGUUUGACUCAUUCUGCGGUUGAUAUUAUGAAGGUGACACUAAAUACGGGCUACGUUUUACCAGAAGCAUUCCAUCUGAAGUUUAUCUUGAGGAAAUUUGAAAUACACAGCACUAUGAAAAAAAGUUCUUGUGAGAACAAUAAAAUGGUUUUACUAGCUCAGACUUGGGUAAACAAAGAAAAUUCUUAAGAGAACAAAAAUAAAAUUGAAUGACAUAGAGUAAAUAAGCAGGUUUUGUUGUCUGGUUGUGCUAAUAAACAGCCAUGGAUAGAAUUGCUGUCAUUGCAGGAGGUCAAUCAAACUCAAGUACAUUAAAUAUUUGCAUAUAUAUUUGCACAGACUUUCUGGAUGGAUGAAUUUUUCACUUCAGCUUUCUCUCCCAGAUUCUUAUGUUGAAUUUGCAAGACAUCCCCCCUCCCAUUUAUGAAGAAACCUGCACAUUUUGCAAAGUACAGGUUGCACUUGCCACAACACUGAACACCAAUGGGUGGUGGUGUGAGUUUCAAAAUGUUUACAGCAAUUAUGGGAACCUAAGGACUAUUUAGUCCUACCCCAUAUCCAAUUAAUCCAACUACUCAUAAAGUAUCCCUAAGCAGUGAACGUCCAUUCUAACCUCUCUCUGAAGGACAAUCCACCACUUUCUGAGGUAGACCAUUCCACCACGGAACAGCUUGUACUAUCAAGAUGUCCUCCAGAAAUUUUAGCUGGAAUCUCCUUGAGCUGAAUGAUUCUACUUCAUUUUACUUCAUUUCCUGAAGUUGCCUUCUCUUAACCCUUAUAAUUUAUUCUGCUGUCUAUUGGCUGAGUUCCUAGAUCAGGGCUAUGUAGCAUAAAUCUUUGCAUGUGAAAGAACUCAUAAAAGGUGCUACAGGAAUCAAGUUACCCUGCCAUGAAGGAAUAAACAACUGAAGAACUCCUAAAAGAGGACCAUCCACGUUCUGCUGAAAGACCUCUAAAGAAGGAGGUCUACUCCCUUUGAGGCAGUCUACUCUACUGCCGGAUAGCUGUUAGAGUCAAGAUGUUCUUCCUAACAUUUAAGUGGAAGCUCUUUCUUAUAGUUUAAUUCCAUUAGUUGGUAUUAUAUUACUUAGAGCAACAGUCAUCCCGCUCACG
ensembl:lncRNA